CUUUAUUGGAGAGUUUGAUCCUGGCUCAGGAUGAACGCUGGCGGCGUGCCUAAUACAUGCAAGUCGAGCGAAUGGAUUGAGAGCUUGCUCUCAAGAAGUUAGCGGCGGACGGGUGAGUAACACGUGGGUAACCUGCCCAUAAGACUG
rnacentral:rRNA from 1 species